rnacentral:ncRNA from 2 species
CCGAAUAUUAAGCGUACAGGUGCCAGUCCUGUGGACUGGCUUAAAAGGGAAGUCCGGUGAAAGUCCGGCGCGGUCCCGCCACUGUAAUGGGAAGCCGCCUUAUAUUACGCCACUGGGAAACUGGGAAGGCAUAAGGCGGCGAUGAACCAGAGCCAGGAGACCUGCCUGUACUGCUCGUACACU